rnacentral:rRNA from 1 species
UACGUAGGGUGCAGGCGUUAAUCGGAAUUACUGGGCGUAAAGCGCACGUAGGCGGCUUUGUAAGUUAGAGGUGAAAGCCUGGAGCUCAACUCCAGAAUUGCCUUUAAGACUGCAUCGCUUGAAUCCAGGAGAGGUGAGUGGAAUUCCGAGUGUAGAGGUGAAAUUCGAUAGAUAUUCGGAAGAACACCAGUGGCGAAGGCGGCUCACUGGACUGGUAUUGACGCUGAGG